rnacentral:rRNA from 1 species
GAUGAACGCUGGCGGCGUGCCUAACACAUGCAAGUCGAACGGAGUUUACUCGCUGAUGAAGCUUCGGCAGAAUCUUGAGUAAACUUAGUGGCGGACGGGUGAGUAACGCGUGGGCAACCUGCCUCAUACUGGGGGAUAGCAGUUGGAAACGACUGAUAAUACCGCAUAAGCGCACAGAGUCGCAUGACUCAGUGUGAAAAACUCCGGUGGUAUGAGAUGGGCCCGCGUCAGAUUAGCUAGUUGGUAAGGUAACGGCUUACCAAGGCGACGAUCUGUAGCCGGACUGAGAGGUCGGACGGCCACAUUGGGACUGAGACACGGCCCAAACUCC